rnacentral:rRNA from 1 species
UACGUAGGGUGCAAGCGUUGUCCGGAAUUAUUGGGCGUAAAGAGCUCGUAGGCGGUUCGUCGCGUCGGCUGUGAAAUCCCGAGGCUCAACCUCGGGUCUGCAGUCGAUACGGGCGGACUGGAGUUCGGCAGGGGAGACUGGAAUUCCUGGUGUAGCGGUGAAAUGCGCAGAUAUCAGGAGGAACACCGGUGGCGAAGGCGGUUCUCUGGGCCUUACCUGACGCUGAGGAGCGAAAGCGUGGGGAGCAAACAGG